GAAUAUUGGACAAUGGGGGGAACCCUGAUCCAGCCAUGCCGCGUGGGUGAAGAAGGCAUUAUGGUUGUAAAGCACUUUAAGCGCGGGGGCGGCUACUCGAGAUAAGACCUAGAGAUAGUGGACGUUACUCGCAGAAUAAGCACCGGCUAACUCUGGUCCAGCAGCCGCGGUAAUGCAGAGGGUGCAAGUGUUAAUCGGAUUUACUGGGCGUAAAGCGCGCGUAGGUUGCCAAUUACGUCAAAUGUGCAAUCCCCUAGCUUAACUUGUGAAUUGCAUUCGAUACUGGUUGGCUAGAUUAGGGGAGAGGAUGGUAGAAUUCCAGGUGUAGCGGUGAAAUGCGUAGAGAUCUGGAGGAAUACCGAUGGCGAAGGCAGCCAUCUGGCCUAAUACUGACACUGAGGUGCGAAAGCAUGGGGAGCAAAC
rnacentral:rRNA from 1 species